rnacentral:rRNA from 1 species
AUUGAACGCUGGCGGCAUGCCUUACACAUGCAAGUCGAACGGCAGCGCGGGGCAACCUGGCGGCGAGUGGCGAACGGGUGAGUAACAUAUCGGAACAUACCCUAGAGUGGGGGGAUAACGUAGCGAAAGUUACGCUAAUACCGCAUACGCACUAAGGUGGAAAGUGGGGGGAUCUUCGGACCUCAUGCUCAUGGAGUGGCCGAUAUCUGAUUAGCUAGUUGGUGAGGUAAAGGCUCACCAAGGCGACGAUCAGUAGCUGGUUUGAGAGAACGACCAGCCACACUGGAACUGAGACACGGUCCAGACUCCUACGGGAGGCAGCAGUGGGGGAAUUUUGGACAAUGGACGCAAGUCUGAUCCAGCCAUUCCGCGUGCAGGAUGAAGGCCCUCGGGUUGUAAACUGCUUUGUACGGACGAAAGGUUCUAUUAAUACUUAGGAGCGUCAUGACGGUACCGUAAGAAUAAGACACCGGCUAACUACGU